UACAGAGGUCCCAAGCGUUGUUCGGAUUCAUUGGGCGUAAAGGGCGCGUAGGUGGUUCGGUAAGUCGGAUGUGAAAUCUCCAAGCUUAACUUGGAAAUGGCAUCGGAAACUACCGGGCUAGAGUCUAGGAGGGGGGAGUGGAAUUCUUGGUGUAGCAGUGAAAUGCGUAGAUAUCAAGAGGAACACCGGUGGCGAAAGCGACUCCCUGGACUAGUACUGACACUGAGGCGCGAAAGCUAGGGGAGCAAACGGG
rnacentral:rRNA from 1 species